rnacentral:rRNA from 1 species
GAUGAACGCUGGCGGCGUGCUUAACACAUGCAAGUCGAACGAAGCACCCCAUCCGAAAGCGGAAGCAGCUUGCUGCGGAAGAUUUCACCCGGGGUGACUGAGUGGCGGACGGGUGAGUAACGCGUGGGUAACCUGCCCCAUAGAGGGGGACAACAGUUGGAAACGACUGCUAAUACCGCAUAGUAAGGAACUGCCGCAUGACGGUUUCUUGAAAGAUUUAUCGCUAUGGGAUGGACCCGCGUCUGAUUAGCUAGUUGGUAAGGUAACGGCUUACCAAGGCGACGAUCAGUAGCCGGCUUGAGAGAGUGAACGGCCACAUUGGGACUGAGACACGGCCCAA